rnacentral:rRNA from 1 species
CACCAUAGAGUUUGAUUUUUGGCUCAGGACGAACGCUGGCGGCGUGCCUAAUACAUGCAAGUUGAGCGCUGAAGGUUGGUACUUGUACCGACUGGAUGAGCAGCGAACGGGUGAGUAACGCGUGGGGAAUCUGCCUUUGAGCGGGGGACAACAUCUGGAAACGAAUGCUAAUACCGCAUAAAAACUUUAAACACAAGUUUUAAGUUUGAAAGAUGCAAUUGCAUCACUCAAAGAUGAUCCCGCGUUGUAUUAGCUAGUUGGUGAGGUAAAGGCUCACCAAGGCGAUGAUACAUAGCCGACCUGAGAGGGUGAUCGGCCACAUUGGGACUGAGACACGGCCCAAACUCCUACGGGAGGCAGCAGUAGGGAAUCUUCGGCAAUGGACGAAAGUCUGACCGAGCAACGCCGCGUGAGUGAAGAAGGUUUUCGGAUCGUAAAACUCUGUUGGUAGAGAAGAACGUUGGUGAGAGUGGAAAGCUCAUCAAGUGACGGUAACUACCCAGAAAGGGACGGCUAACUACGUGCCAGCAGCCGCGGUAAUACGUAGGUCCCGAGCGUUGUCCGGAUUUAUUGGGCGUAAAGCGAGCGCAGGUGGUUUAUUAAGUCUGGUGUAAAAGGCAGUGGCUCAACCAUUGUAUGCAUUGGAAACUGGUAGACUUGAGUGCAGGAGAGGAGAGUGGAAUUCCAUGUGUAGCGGUGAAAUGCGUAGAUAUAUGGAGGAACACCGGUGGCGAAAGCGGCUCUCUGGCCUGUAACUGACACUGAGGCUCGAAAGCGUGGGGAGCAAACAGGAUUAGAUACCCUGGUAGUCCACGCCGUAAACGAUGAGUGCUAGAUGUAGGGAGCUAUAAGUUCUCUGUAUCGCAGCUAACGCAAUAAGCACUCCGCCUGGGAGACCCUCUG